rnacentral:rRNA from 1 species
UACAGAGGUCCCAAGCGUUGUUCGGAUUCACUGGGCGUAAAGGGUGCGUAGGCGGUCGGGUAAGUCUGAUGUGAAAUCUCACAGCUUAACUGUGAAACUGCAUUGGAUACUAUUCGGCUUGAGAGUUGGAGGGGGGACUGGAAUUCUCGGUGUAGCAGUGAAAUGCGUAGAUAUCAAGUGGAACACCAGUGGCGAAGGCGAGUCUCUGGACAUUUCCUGACGCUGAGGCACGAAAGCCAGGGGAGCAAACGGG